rnacentral:rRNA from 1 species
ACGUAGGUGACAAGCGUUAUCCGGAAUUACUGGGCGUAAAGCGCACGCAGGCGGUGCGUUAAGUCUGACGUGAAAUUUCCCGGCUUAACUGGGAGGGGUCGUUGGAGACUGGCGUGCUUGAGGCGAUGAGAGGGGUGUAGAAUUCCCGGUGUAGUGGUGGAAUGCGUAGAUAUCGGGAGGAAUACCAGUGGCGGAAGCGACACCCUGGCAUUAGCCUGACGCUCAGGUGCGAAGGCGUGGGGAGCGAACGG